GUGAUUUAUUUUUGCCAAAAAUAGGUUUGUUCUUUUGUCUCCUUCACACUUUCCCCUUUCUCAUAUUUUCGUCUCUUUCUCAGUAAAUUCCAAGUUGUUUCUUCUUCUUUUUUAAUUGCGUCAAUCAAACAGUUUGAACGUCACGCUCUCUCCAGUCUUCUUCUUUAUUCAUUUUAUAAAUAUCAAGUGAUGAUCCAAAUCGAUUCUCAACUUUCCUCUCCCUUAUAAUUCUGAUUUAUGGAGCCUUCUGGUUUGAUUGUUUUUGUUGGCUUAUCCGAACCAAUCGUCUCUCACUUCUGAGAAAUCGACAAGGAGAGCGAUGUAGUAAGAAACGGAGAGAACGAGAUGGAGAGCAACAUAGUAAGUGACAGAGGUAUUGAGAUGAAGAGCGUAACGGAGAAGUCGAGUAUAGACACGAAGCAAGUGAAUAAGAUGGAGCACUUUUAUAUAUCUUCUGGUCAGAUCUGCUUAAAUAAGUUUAGCUAUGACCAAAACUAAGAAACAAUACACAUAAGUUUGAUAUUGUUUAUGCUAUUUUCCUAAAUAUUGUUUAUCCUAUUUUUCAAUUUCAGACGAAGUGGUCUUGCUUGAUGUUAUUUGAUCUCCAGAUAUUGACAUCGUUCACGAUUCUUAAAGGUAAUCAAAUAUUUUCCAUACAUGGGUUUUUCACAAGGAAGAACCAAGAGAGACAAUGAGAUGUCAAUGAACCGAAUCUGGAUGCUUUUGUCGUGAAUUAUGACUAUACAUUUCUUCUUCUUUUGAGCUUCUGAGCAUCAAAUAUGUUUACACAAGAACGAUAUGAAUCAUGUGUUUAUGACGAAUGACUUCUGAGGCUUUCAGAUGAUUUGCAAUGAUAUGCUCAAUGACUUUGGUAGACAUACAUUGGGAUUCCGUUAAUAAUUUGUUUGUAUGAAUUAGAGGAUAUAGUUAUGCAACAAUGGAUCCAAAUCAAUCAGCUAAAAAUUUGCAUGUAUUUCCUUCACUCUGUAUAUAGAUAUGAAUUGUCAAAGAUUAAUCCCAACUUCAAGAUUGUCCUUAAUUUUUUUUAAAGUGACUGGAGAAGUACGAGGACUACUUGAAGCUCAAAUCAAGAGUAGAGAUCUUACAACAUUCACAACAGUACAUAGCGUUAUUCAUUACACAUCUUGAAACGUGAAUGCUUACUCCACGUCUCCAGCAACUUAACUCUUCUGACUUUAGGCAUUUGCUAGGUGAAGAGAUAGCCGGGAUGGGAGUGGAAGAGCUUGAGCAGCUACAACGUCAAGUAGAUACAUAUCACUAAGGCUCAUAUUAGACUUUUCUUCAAUAGAAUAAUGCAGGUUACCGACUUUCAUUUAAUCCAAAAAUAUUUAAUCAAAAUAACAACAUGAUCUCCGAAUUUUUUUUUUUUUUAUAAAUUGGCUAAAUUCUAUUUAUUUUUUGUUUGUUUAUAUUAUAAUAUCGUUUUCGAUCUACAAUUUUCUUAAAAUGCUUCAUAAAUUAUUAUAAAUUCAUAUAAAAUAAAUUUUUUAAUAACUUUCCGCCCGUAGGGCGGGCCGACCAUAGUAUAUAUAUAUAUAUAUAUAACUACUAUUAACACAUAUAAGAUUCUAAAAUAUAUAAAUUGAAUUCAACCACUCCAAUAAUGUUACCAAGUCCAUACCUGCUUUUCUCGUCCGCGUCUUUAUAACCUCUAGCUAUUUUAUAUAUACAUCACCAACCCUUGAUAACUAUUUUCUUAUAAGACUUCAUAAUAUUCGUCUACUUUAUAUUAAGACCACAACACUCGAUCUCCUCUUCAUAAUCUUCAGCUCCUGUCAGGUUAUCAUUAAGGUAGAAUGAUCCAAACCGAUCACAACCAAUCUUCUGCUGCUGUAGUGGAAAAACCUCCACAGGGGCCGUACACAAGCCCCCCGCCGAUAGGCUAUCCGACAAGGGAUGCGAUGUUGAGUGAUCCUCCUCCGCCCGCAGUGGAGACGAAGUCCAAGGGCGAUGGGUUUUGGAAAGGAUGUUGUGCUGCCAUAUGCUGCUGUUGUGUUCUGGACGCAUGCUUCUGAGACUUCGGAGUUUACAAUUUUACGAAAAUUAUUGCUGUAAUAAAAAUAAGUUUAUGUUUGAUGAUAGUUGUUUUACUUAAUUACUCUCUAUGUGGAAUAUACUCUGAGGAUUGUUAUGUUUCGGGUUAUUAAGUGAACGUAUUAUACACUAAA